GGGGGGAUGCAUGGGCGCAGCCUGAUGCAGCGACGCCGCGUGAGGGAUGACGGCCUUCGGGUUGUAAACCUCUUUCAGCUCUGACGAAGCCCCUUGGGGGUGACGGUAGGAGCAGAAGAAGCACCGGCUAACUACCUGCCAGCAGCCGCGGUAAUACCUAGGGUGCGAGCGUUGUCCGGAAUUAUUGGGCGUAAAGAGCUUGGAGGCGGCUUGGCCCGUCUGCUGUGAAAGCCCGGGGCUUAACCCCGGGUCUGCAGUGGGUACGGGCAGGCUAAAGUGGGGUAGGGGAAACUGGAAUUCCUGGUGUAACGGUGGAAUGGGCAAAUAUCAGGAGGAACACCGAUGGGGAAGGGAGGUCUCUGGGCCAUUACUGACGCUGAAAAGCGAAAGCGUGGGGAGCGAACAGGAUUAGAUACCCUGGUAGUCCACGCCGUAAACGUUGGGCGCUAGGUGUGGGUCCCAUUCCACGGGGUCCGUGCCGCAGCUAACGCAUUAAGCGCCCCGCCUGGGGAGUACGGCCGCAAGGGUAAAACUCAAAGGAAUUGACGGGGGCCCGCACAAGCGGCGGAACAUGCGGAUUAAUUCGAUGCAACGCGAAGAACCUUACCAAGGCUUGACAUACACCGGACGACUGCAGAGAUGUGGUUUCCCUUUGUGGCUGGUGUACAGGUGGUGCAUGGUUGUCCUCAGCUCGUGUCCUGAGAUGUUGGGUUAAGUCCCGCAACGAGCGCCACCCUCGUUCCAUGUUGCCAGCAACACCUUUUGGGUGGUUGGGGACUCAUGGGAGACUGCCGGGGUCAACUCCGAAGAAGUGGGGAUGACGUCAAAUCAUCAUGCCCUUACGUCUGGGCUUCACGCAUGCUACAAUGGCCGUACAAAGGCUGCGAUCCCGUGAGGGGGAGCGAAUCCAGAAGCCGUCUCAGUUCGAUUGGGUCUGCAACUCGACCCAUGAAGUCGAGUCGCCUAGUAUCGCAGAUCAGCCAACGCUGCGUGAUACGUUCCCGGCCUGUACACACCGCCGUCAGUCACGAAGUCGUACAUCUGAAGCCGUGUCAACCCUGUGAAGAAGCUGUCGAAGUGGACUGUGAUGGACUAGUCGUACCAGGUACCCA
rnacentral:rRNA from 1 species